CGGCUCCAGAGAACUGUUCUCCUGCUUCUUCAGCUUGACGUGUAUAUGACCGGGGCUGCUAUUCAUUUGGUGCAUGGAGAGGUCAACAACAGUAUAGAUGGUGGUGCAGCGUUGGAACGAUCAGCUGAAGGAUGGAACCUUUCUGGGCAAGAUCCGAGCUGAGCAGCCCAUCCCACCAGGUCCCUUUCUUCUGGCUGGACCAGAGGAUAGAGCAUCACCGGAACAUGACUGGGGAGUAGACUGCCCGCCAGGGACAUGUGUGGGGAGCUGACCGAGGAGAUGCUCCAAAUCUGGGAGG